rnacentral:rRNA from 1 species
UGGGGAAUAUUGCACAAUGGGCGCAAGCCUGAUGCAGCCAUGCCGCGUGUAUGAAGAAGGCCUUCGGGUUGUAAAGUACUUUCAGUCGGGAGGAAGGUGGUAAGGUUAAUAACCUUAUCAAUUGACGUUACCGACAGAAGAAGCACCGGCUAACUCCGUGCAGCAGCCGCGGUAAUACGGAGGGUGCAAGCGUUAAUCGGAAUUACUGGGCGUAAAGCGCACGCAGGCGGUUGAUUGAGUCAGAUGUGAAAUCCCCGGGCUUAACCCGGGAAUUGCAUCUGAUACUGGUCAGCUAGAGUCUUGUAGAGGGGGGUAGAAUUCCAUGUGUAGCGGUGAAAUGCGUAGAGAUGUGGAGGAAUACCGGUGGCGAAGGCGGCCCCCUGGACAAAGACUGACGCUCAGGUGCGAAAGCGUGGGGAGCAAACAGG